ensembl:rRNA 5_8S_rRNA 5.8S ribosomal RNA
GACUCUUAGAUAUUGAUCACUCCUGUGUUGAUUAAGAACACAGCUAGUUGUGAGAAUUAAUGUGAAUUGCAGGUCAUUGAUCAUCGACACUUCGAAUACACUUGCAGCCCCAGGAUCCUGCCACGCUACAUCUGUCUGAGAAUCG